rnacentral:rRNA from 1 species
GCUUAACACAUGCAAGUCGAGGGGUAUAGUUCUUCGGAGCUAGAGACCGGCGCACGGGUGCGUAACGCGUAUGCAAUCUACCUUUUACAGAGGGAUAGCCCAGAGAAAUUUGGAUUAAUACCCCAUAGUAUUAUAGAGUGGCAUCACUUUAUAAUUAAAGUCACAACGGUAAAAGAUGAGCAUGCGUCCCAUUAGCUAGUUGGUAAGGUAACGGCUUACCAAGGCUACGAUGGGUAGGGGUCCUGAGAGGGAGAUCCCCCACACUGGUACUGAGACACGGACCAGACUCCUACGGGAGGCAGCAGUGAGGAAUAUUGGACAAUGGGCGCAAGCCUGAUCCAGCCAUGCCGCGUGCAGGAUGACGGUCCUAUGGAUUGUAAACUGCUUUUGUACGAGAAGAAACACUCCAACGUGUUGGAGCUUGACGGUAUCGUAAGAAUAAGGAUCGGCUAACUCCGUGCCAGCAGCCGCGGUAAUACGGAGGAUCCAAGCGUUAUCCGGAAUCAUUGGGUUUAAAGGGUCCGUAGGCGGUUUAGUAAGUCAGUGGUGAAAGCCCAUCGCUCAACGGUGGAACGGCCAUUGAUACUGCUGAACUUGAAUUAUUAGGAAGUAACUAGAAUAUGUAGUGUAGCGGUGAAAUGCUUAGAGAUUACAUGGAAUACCAAUUGCGAAGGCAGGUUACUACUAAUGGAU